rnacentral:rRNA from 1 species
UGCGUAGGCGGUUUGGUAAGUCUUGUGUGAAAUCUACAGGCUCAACUUGUAGUCUGCACGAGAAACUGCCGGGCUUGAGUGUGGGAGAGGUGAGUGGAAUUUCCGGUGUAGCGGUGAAAUGCGUAGAUAUCGGAAGGAACACCUGUGGCGAAAGCGGCUCACUGGACCACAACCUGACGCUGAUGCACGAAAGCUAGGGGAGCAAACAGGAUUAGAUACCCUGGUAGUCCUAGCCCUAAACGAUGACUGCUUGGUGUGACGGGUACCCAAUCCCGCCGUGCCGUAGCUAACGCGUUAAGCAGUCCGCCUGGGGAGUACGGUCGCAAGGCUGAA